AGAGUUUGAUCCUGGCUCAGGACGAACGCUGGCGGCGUGCUUAACACAUGCAAGUCGAGCGGUAAGGCCCUUCGGGGUACACGAGCGGCGAACGGGUGAGUAACACGUGGGUGACCUGCCCCCUACUCUGGGAUAAGCCUGGGAAACUGGGUCUAAUACCGGAUAUGACUACAUGUCGCAUGGUGUGUGGUGGAAAGUUUUUCGGUGGGGGAUGGGCCCGCGGCCUAUCAGCUUGUUGGUGGGGUGAUGGCCUACCAAGGCGACGACGGGUAGCCGGCCUGAGAGGGCGACCGGCCACACUGGGACUGAGACACGGCCCAGACUCCUACGGGAGGCAGCAGUGGGGAAUAUUGCGCAAUGGGCGGAAGCCUGACGCAGCGACGCCGCGUGGGGGAUGACGGCCUUCGGGUUGUAAACCUCUUUCGGCCCCGACGAAGCGUGAGUGACGGUAGGGGUAGAAGAAGCACCGGCCAACUACGUGCCAGCAGCCGCGGUAAUAC
rnacentral:rRNA from 1 species